rnacentral:lncRNA from 1 species
GCAGGGCCUCGAGGAAGUAGGUGAGCUUCUCCAUCCCUGUCUGUCUAGAUGCAGAGAACCCAAAGCCCUGCAGGAUGGCAAAGCUGCAACAUGGAAGUCACCCGGAUCACCACGUAAAGGAAAUCUCUCCAACCAGGAACAAACACCUGCCUUGCAAUAUUAGGUGGCCACCAGACUUUCUCUGCUUGUAUCCUCCCAGGACCACAGAACUCAUCGCAUCCCAAGGCAGCCUAUUCCAUCAUGGAUGAGCUCAAAGUGUUUGAAAGUUCUGCUUUAUCAAAACUCUUGAUGGCCUGCUUCCCAUCCUCCAUCCUGGAAGACUGAUCUGAAACCCCAGGAGGAGGUCCUCUGAGCCCUGAGGCAGAGAUCUCUCACCUGGAAGAUGGGUCUAAUGACUGCGCCCCACACACACCAGAGAGGACUGCAGAUAGUGCGGGAUGAGAGGAAGAUCUCUGGCCCUGGAGACAGCAUCAUCAAGCGAAAACGUAUGAGGAAGAAAAUAGCAGAUGAGAAGAAUCAACCAAAUUCCGGAAGCUGGAAGGCAGAUGGGACUCUCUCAUCUUCUACCAUGGAAUGAUGCAGCAAGAAGGCCCUUGAAUGAUGCCAGCACCUUGAUAUUGGACUUUCCAGCCUCCAGAACCAUGAGCCAAUACAUUUCUGUUCCAUAAAAAUUACCCAGUUCCAGGUAUUCUGCUAUAGCAGCACAAAAUGGACUAAAACAAUGUUGGCACAAGACUCAGUGCUGGGCCUGGCAUGCAACAGGUCCUUGGAGUGGCGUGCUGUGUGGAUAAUGAAUAUUGGGGAAGGCAUCUCUCUCCAGCCCCUCUCAAGCUUUCUGUAGUCACUGGUCCACUCUGUAUUGCUAUGAAGAAGCUCAAGACCAGCCUGUAUCACUCGGGGUCCUGGCAGGAACCAGGUGCCACACUCAAACUGAGUAAUUGAAGAGGGUUUAAUAUGGGAGUUAUUUACAUAGGUGUGGGCUGGUGUAGCUGCCCAUAUGCCCUCAAAAUCACCUCUACAUGGCAAUAGCUACUUACUGCUAACAGAGUCUCUCUCUCAUUGCUGCAAAUAUUUUCUAGCCAUGCAAGAAACUCAGCCGGUCAUGUUGAACAAACUAAGAGUGCCAGGAAGUUAAUGUCCUGGAAGCAUUGCCAGAGGGGAGGGGGCAGUUAGAUUCCCCAGCUUCCUCGCUCCUCUGCUGGGUUAAGCCUGCAACAUAUUCAUCAUCUCCCAGAGUGCUGCCCAGGGAUAGAGCUCCAGGUGCUCAGUGUGGUGACCUGCUCAUGUCAGCUUCUUCCCCUUUCCUGUCUUGUUUCGCACCCACAUCCUUCCCAUGUUUCCUCUUCCCAAAUAAACUACUUGCAUUGAAAUCUUUGUCUCAGGCUCUGCUUCUGGGGAAACCUGAAC